rnacentral:lncRNA from 1 species
GGCAAAACUAAUUCAUUAAAGGAGAAUAUUGUAUGGCAAAAUAAUCAUACAGAAAUGUUACCGAAAGAAUCUUUUUCGUUGGUGGAGCUUUUAAGCAGAGCUUAGUUUACGACUUUGUUUCCCUGACAAAGAACAAUAGAUUUUGGUUAAGAACAGGUUUCCGUUCAUCGGGUGCCCAUUUCUCCCCACCCUGAUCAGCCUGAUAUGACAGAGAACGCCGUCGAUCUUCUCUGCCAAGACUUUACUGUUCAGCUUCCUCUCC